GUCUUUUUAAUGUGGCCACUAGACAAUGAAAAGCACAUCUUCGGCUCAUGCUGUGUUUCUAUUGGACGGCCCUGGCCCAGGGCAGCGGUUCUCAGCCGGCUGUACUUUAGCAUCACCUGCAGAGCCCUAGAGAAGCACAGAGGCACCAGGCUCAGCCAAACCAGCACGGCCUGCAUCCCCGGGGUGAGGCCAGGGGGUCUGUAGUUUCCACCAUCUUUCCAGGGGGCUGGCAGGGCUGAGGCGGUGGAGGAGGGGACGGCUCAGCCAUGGGGCCUCUCAGGUGUAAUGGUCUAAAAUUCUGUCUUCCUUAAUUUCUUGAGAGUUUGACUCUUAGAUGUCAGCAGUAAAGCUAUGGGCCAUUGGUAUAUGAUUCUAGCCCCAAACCAAUCAGUUCCCUCCACUGUCUGCAGUUGGUACCAGGUUAUCUGGGA
rnacentral:lncRNA from 1 species